AUCAGUGAGUGAAUCAAGAGAUCUAAAAAGAAUUUUCACUUAGUAAAAAGACUAGGUCUACAUCAGGCUUUUUUUCUAUUCAGAGGUUUGGCUCCCUGCCAUAGGUUCAGGCAAUAAAUUGGUUGUAUCAGAGCUGCUUCCAGCACUCUGCUGAGUAGACGUGUUCUAACUUGGACAAUAGCUGGCACAAUAAGAACUGGAAAACAGUGGCAACUCAGGUUGCCAGGAUUUCUCAAGUACUUCCACAAUGCUGCUCCGCUCAGGCCGCAAAAAGCCUUACAAAGUACCUGUCAGCAGAAGACGAUAUGUUGAAAAGAAAUCUCAACCGAGGGCUAGUAAAACAGUUUCAGAAAAGUCAGAUAUCGCAUGGUUAAGCGUGUUCACAAGCAAUGAACCAACAAUUUGUGGUGCUAAAAAUUUGGUGAUCCUCAUGCAGAGAUCAAAGCUUAAUGAAUUUGUCCUAUUGUGCAAGGGUGAAAAGCAGCUCUGUCUAAAGGUCUUAAAAGCAUGCUGUUCAGAGCCAGAUUACCCUACACUGAAAAGAUGCAACAUGAAAACAUGCAAGCAUGAAAAUCCAGACUUUGAACAGCUGAGGGAAGACAAUCACUUUUUCAUCAUGCAUUACCAAGGAGAUUCAGUGAAGUUCCAGUGCUACAAAGACACAAGUUACUAUCUGCAUGUGAAUGAGGACUCACUAGAUAUACGCAAGCCGGAAGACACAGAACCUGAUGGGGAGAAAAAUUUUUACUUCAGGGUGUCAUAUUUGCAGGAAAAGUAAUUUGUCUACCUUUCAGUUGCCUAAGUGUCCAUACAACUCCUAUAAUAGGCUAACAGAAAAAAAGGAAGAUUGAGAUCAUGUAGAACUAAUCUCCAUUUUGCCUUUUUUAAAACUUUUCUGUACCAUCUUGAGUCACAAUAUUCCAUUUUAUGAGAGUAACAUCCUUUAGUUCUGUUCUAUACAAUAGGAAGAGAAGUGGCUAAGUUGGGAAAGCAAACUAAGCAGUCUAUUGGCAUCGUAUCUGCACUAUUAUUGUUUUAAGUAGCUGAGUUCUUCCUGAAGAGAAAAAAUACACAGGCAUAUCUCAGAAACAGAGAUACAAGAGUGUAUCACACAUAGAUAUGAAAUAUAAAGCACAGUUAGUUUUCCACAUUGUAAACAUUUUCCUCUUUUAAAACGCAUACCUUAAAUAGGAAUCCUAAUGUCAAUCAAUCACACCAAUGCACAUGGCAGUAAGGCAAUUCAUCUAGAGUAGACAAAACCUCAAAGGGUUGUGAGUCCUUAAAAAAAGUUUGUUUUUUUCCCAAUAACCAUGCAGAGUUUCACUGCUAGAUUCACAGUUGUGUUCUCCAGAUAGUGAAAAUCAUUUUGCUGAUUUCAAUACUGAGUGAACAGAAGAAAGCUUUUGACUUUUCCCUAAAUAAUACUCAUGACUUCUGGAUCUGUUAAGUGGUCAGCAACGUCAGCAGAAAAAAACAGAUACUGAGUGCAGCAUAUAUUCCAUUAGAACUAUUGUGCUGCACAAGGAAUAAAUUCAAUUGGAUCUCAGGUAAAAUUCCA
rnacentral:lncRNA from 1 species